AUGGUUAGUCCCCUCCCCCUCCUCUCUUCUGCGGGUCGUCAUGAUCAAAGCCAUUAUCCCAAUGGUAUUACAUUACUGAAAUAUGCAUCUUUAUUGAGCUUUUCUGAAAAAGGGAUUCCCCCCUCAUUGUAUACAAAGCAACCAACCGAGACAACCAACGAUAGAUGCUGGGGCGGAAGCAGCACAGUCACGCCAAAAAGAAAUGAUAGAGAAAAUACAAGAGAAACAAAUGCCGACAAUGGCGGAUCGAUAGUAAAAACGAAGAGGCCUCGUGACCGCGGCAUCCACCGGAGAUCGCCCACCAAUCUCCGAGCCUCUGAAGCGCCGGUACCAAUCAACACCUCCAAGAAGGGACGCGGCGAUGACGACGCUUCUGCCAAGGGUUUCCCCCGGUACGCGGUGAGGAGAGAGGAAGGGUAG
rnacentral:rRNA from 1 species